ACUAUUUUGGCAGAUAAGUGUAUUAGAUUUAGAAUCUAUAAAUGUAAUUUUAUAAUUACAGGUAGUA
rnacentral:tRNA from 1 species